UAAAGCUACAAAGAGCUAAUGGUGGAUGCCUUGGUACUAGCAGCCGAUGAAGGACGCGCAUGUCUGCGAUAAUCUACGGGGAGUUGACAAGAUGCCUUGAUCCGUAGGAUUCCGAAUGGGGAAACCCUCUAAGGUUAAUACCUUAGAACCCGUAACUGAAUACAUAGGUUACGUGGAGGAAAGCUUGUGAACUGAAACAUCUUAGUAACAAGACGAAAAGAAAAUAAACUAAUGAUUCCGAAAGUAGCGGCGAGCGAAAUCGGAACAGCCUAAACUUUACGUACGUGAUAGACUGCAAUCGUUGUGCGUAGAGAGUAGUGGGACGUUCAGAGUAUGUUGCAGAAUACUCAAAGAGUUACAAAAUUAUUUGUUAGAUGAAGACAACUGGAAAGUUGUGCCAUAGACGGUGAUAGCCCGGUAAUCGAAAGCAAAUAAUCUCUUGAACCCAUCCCGAGUAAGGCGGGGCACGUGAAACCCUGUCUGAAUCUGCGAGGACCAUCUCGUAAGGCUAAAUACUCGCUAGUGACCGAUAGUGAACGAGUACAGUGAUGGAAAGGCGAAAAGAACAGUGAAAAGCUGAGUGAAAUAGAACCUAAAACCGUUAGCUUACAACGAGCUAGAGCCCUAUUAAUAGGGUGAUAGCGUGCCUGUUGAAGAAUGAGCCGGCGAGUUAUCUUAUGUUGCAAGGUUAAGUGGUUAAUACACGGAGCCAUAGCGAAAGCGAGUCUGAAUAGGGCGUUAAGUAACAUGAGAUAGACCCGAACCUUGGCGAUCUAACCAUGACCAGGAUGAAGCGUAGGUGACACUACGUGGAGGUCCGAACCGACUGAUGUUGAAAAAUCAGCGGAUGAGUUGUGGUUAGGGGUGAAAUGCCAAUCGAGCCAAGAGCUAGCUGGUUCUCCCCGAAAUGCGUUUAGGCACAGCCUCGGAUUUAUCUUAUUGGAGGUAGAGCACUAGUCUGGUGCGGGCGGAGAAACUCCGUACCAAACCAUGUUAAACUCCGAAUGCCAAUAAUGUUACUGUCCGGGAGUGAGACUGCGAGUGAUAAGAUCCGUAGUCAAGAGGGAAACAGCCCAGACCGCCAUCUAAGGUCCCUAAUUAUAUGCUAAGUGAUUAAGGAGGUAGGAAUACUUUGACAACCAGGAGGUUGGCUUAGAAGCAGCCAUUCCUUGAAAGAGUGCGUAAUAGCUCACUGGUCAAGUGUCCCCGCGCCGAAAAUACGACGGGGCUAAGCAUAUAACCGAAGAUGCGGCAGUAAAUUCGUUUACUGGGUAGGGGAGCGUUCUGUUGUAAGUUGAAGUCAGACCGGAAGGACUGAUGGAUGAAGCAGAAGUGAGAAUGUCGGCAUGAGUAGCGAAAACAUUGGUGAGAAUCCAAUGCACCGAAAACCUAAGGUUUCCCCUGGCAGGCUCGUCCGCGGGGGGUUAGUCGGAACCUAAGCUCAGGCUGAAAAGCGUAGGCGAUGGACAACAGGUUGAUAUUCCUGUACUAUCUGGUAGUCGUUAUCAGAUGCGGAGGGACGCAGGAGGAUAAACACGCAGCCGAUCGGAAGUGGCUGUUUAAGCGUGUAGCUAGUUCGAGUAGGAAAAUCCGCUCGGGCGUUAUGACGUGAGGCGUGAUGAGGAGGAUCUACGGAUCCGAAGGUGUUGACUCCACACUGCCAAGAAAAUCUUCGCAAUCGAGAAUAUCAGGUAUCCGUACCGUAAACCGCCACAGGUAGGUUGGUAGAAAAUACCAAGGUGCGCGAGACAACUCUCGCUAAGGAACUCGGCAAAAUCACCUCGUAACUUCGGGAGAAGAGGUACCCUGGUAGCGUGAAGCGAUUUACUCGUGAAGCGUGAUAGGGUCGCAGUGAAUAGGCCCAAGCGACUGUUUACCAAAAACACAGGUCUCUGCUAAGUCGAUCAAGACGAUGUAUAGGGGCUGACGCCUGCCCGGUGUCGGAAGGUUACGCGGAAAUGUUAGAAGCAAUUCAAAGCAUCGAAGCUAAGCCCCGAUGAACGGCGGCCGUAACUAUAACGGUCCUAAGGUAGCGAAAUUCCUUGUCAGGUAAGUUCUGACCCGCACGAAUGGCGUAACGAUUUGGGCGCUGUCUCGGCGAGAGGCUCGGCGAAAUUGGAUUAUCCGUGAAGAUACGGAUUACGUGUACCAGGACAGAAAGACCCUAUUGAGCUUUACUGUAGCUUGAAAUUGAAUUCGGGUCCUGCUUGUGCAGGAUAGGUGGGAGGCUUUGAAGCAGAAGCGUCAGCUUUUGUGGAGCCAACGUUGAGAUACCACUCUGGUAUGAUUUGAAUUCUAACACUCAUCCCUCUAACAACAGGGGAGUGGACAGUUUCUGGUAGGCAGUUUGACUGGGGCGGUCGCCUCCUAAAGAGUAACGGAGGCGCUCAAAGGUUCCCUCAGGUUGGUCGGAAAUCAACCUUCGAGUGUAAAGGCACAAGGGAGCUUGACUGCGAGACCUACAAGUCGAGCAGGUGCGAAAGCAGGACUUAGUGAUCCGGUGGUCCCGAAUGGAAGGGCCAUCGCUCAUCGGAUAAAAGUUACCAUAGGGAUAACAGGCUUAUCUCCCCCAAGAGUCCACAUCGACGGGGAGGUUUGGCACCUCGAUGUCGGCUCGUCGCAUCCUGGGGCUGUAGUCGGUCCCAAGGGUUGGGCUGUUCGCCCAUUAAAGCGGCACGCGAGCUGGGUUCAGAACGUCGUGAGACAGUUCGGUCCAUAUCCGGUAUGCGCGCAAGAGAAUUGAUCGGAGUCUUCCUUAGUACGAGAGGACCGGGAAGAGGGAACCUCCAGUGUACGGGUUAUCGCGCCAGCGGUAAACGCCCGGUAGCUGUGUUCCAAGCGGAUAAGCGCUGAAAGCAUAUAAGUGCGAAGCCCACCGAAAGAUGAGUUCUCUCACAGAGUAAUCUGGUAAGUCCCCAUGCAGAUCACGUGGUUGAUAGGAUGCAGAUAGAAGUAUGGCAACAUAUGUAGUCGAGCAUUACUAAUAGGACGAGGGCUUU
rnacentral:rRNA from 1 species